rnacentral:rRNA from 1 species
UACGAAGGGGGCUAGCGUUGUUCGGAAUUACUGGGCGUAAAGCGCACGUAGGCGGACAUUUAAGUCAGGGGUGAAAUCCCAGAGCUCAACUCUGGAACUGCCUUUGAUACUGGGUGUCUUGAGUAUGGAAGAGGUGAGUGGAAUUCCGAGUGUAGAGGUGAAAUUCGUAGAUAUUCGGAGGAACACCAGUGGCGAAGGCGACUACCUGGCCUGUUCUUGACGCUGAGGCGCGAAAGCUAGGGGAGCAAACGGG